rnacentral:lncRNA from 1 species
CAUCAGGCAAGGCAAUAUAAUAUUCCAUUUUCUUCACGUGCUCAAAUUUGCUAAGCUAGUUCCUGAUUGUGGGAUACAUGGUUGGGCUCACAUAUUUUCCCACCGAUAGACAAGAGAUUACCAGAAAAGGGGUGAGGAAUCCAGAGAGAAUGUCUGCAUAAGAAGGAGGGUGGAGAUUUCUUACUGAACUAAAGGCUUCAAGAAUUGGCAAAUACCUGCUCAAUGUUUUUCCAGACUUUUGUAUUUCUGAUGACUGGAUGACUCCACCUGGACCCGAGACUCAUGACUCACCCAGUCCUGUGGCCCCACCCAGAAGUGGACUCAGAGCAAGAGGACCAUUUUCCACACCCCAAUGAGUGCAUCCCCAACCAAUCAGCAGCACCUGUUCCCUAGCCCCCUGACCACCAAACUCUCCUUGAGAAACCGUAGCCUCCAAAUUUUCUGGGAGGCUGAUUUGAGUAAUAAUAAAACUUUGGUCUCCUAUGUAGCUGGCUCUAUGUGUAUUAAACUCUUCCUCUAUUGCAAUUCCCCUGCCUUGGUAAGUCGG